GAUGAAGAACGUAGCGAAAUGCGAUACUUGGUGUGAAUUGCAGAAUCCCGUGAACCAUCGAGUCUUUGAACGCAAGUUGCGCCCGAAGCCAUCAGGUUGAGGGCACGUCUGCCUGGGCCUCACAUAUCGUUGCCCAAUGCCUAUUGCAGUGCAAUAGGAAUUUCUAGGGCGAAUGAUGGCUUCCCGUGAGCGUUGUUGCCUCGCGGUUGGUUGAAAAUCGAGUCCUUGGUAGGGUGUGCCAUGGUAGAUGGUGGUCGAGUUAGAACGAUACCGAUCAUGUGCAUGCUCCCCAAAAUAUGGCCUCUAUGACCCACACGCGUCUUUUGACGCUCAUGACGAGACCUCAGGUCAGGCGGGGCUACCCGCUGAAUUUAAGCAUAUCAAUAAGCGGAGGA
rnacentral:misc_RNA from 1 species